AUCCCUGGCUCAGGAUGAACGCUGGCGGCGUGCUUAACACAUGCAAGUCGAACGAUGAUCCCAGCUUGCUGGGGGAUUAGUGGCGAACGGGUGAGUAACACGUGAGUAACCUGCCCUUAACUCUGGGAUAAGCCUGGGAAACUGGGUCUAAUACCGGAUAUGACUCCUCAUCGCAUGGUGGGGGGUGGAAAGCUUUAUUGUGGUUUUGGAUGGACUCGCGGCCUAUCAGCUUGUUGGUGAGGUAAUGGCUCACCAAGGCGACGACGGGUAGCCGGCCUGAGAGGGUGACCGGCCACACUGGGACUGAGACACGGCCCAGACUCCUACGGGAGGCAGCAGUGGGGAAUAUUGCACAAUGGGCGAAAGCCUGAUGCAGCGACGCCGCGUGAGGGAUGACGGCCUUCGGGUUGUAAACCUCUUUCAGUAGGGAAGAAGCGAAAGUGACGGUACCUGCAGAAGAAGCGCCG
rnacentral:rRNA from 1 species